UUGAUUGGUCUGUAGUUUCCUGGGUCUGUUUUUUUUCUUUCUUUCUUGAAGAUGGGAAUCACAUCAGUCCUUUUCCAAUCCUCAGAGUCAGGAUGGGCGUGGCCUGUGCGUGAUGCAUCCAGCCUGCGGGCCUCCAGUUUGGCACCCCUGCUGUAAAGCAAGACUUCCUGAAACAACUUAUUUCCUCACAAAUUCUACUCUAAACAUCAUCUUCUCAAUAAUGUCUUUGGCUUAAUUCCCUAUACAUCCCUAGCUGUCUGCAGUUGCAUUUCACCAAAUGCAUCCCAUGUUAUUUGUUAGUCUGGUUUCCCCUCUUUUUAUUGUUUCUAGCCCUUCCAAAUUAUAGAGAAUAAGCUGUUCUUAAUUAUUGCUUAGGGAAAGCUUUAUGUACAUUAAUGAUGCUAAGAAAUAAGAAGGAUAUUUCAAACACUUUAAAUAUCCAACUUGUUAGCUUGGGGAAUAGAAUGGAUGGACAAAAAAGUACUUUGUUUCACCAUCUGAGAAGAAACCUUUCUGUGUUUCAACAGCUUUAUGGCUUUCUCAGAACUUUAUGCUGAUUUUUAAAAACCUGGAGUUGAUUUUCCUCCAUUAAAACUCAACUUAAUUUCCUUGCCUUCCCCAUUUAAGUCAAAUACAGUUAUAGAUCAUAAGUAUAUCCAAAGCUUCAUGAAGCCUAAAAUUAAGAAACAUGCGAGACAUCAGCAACUUCUGGAUGUAAUGUUUUUUUGUUUUUUUUUGGUCUGGACCAUUAGUAUUUUUCUAAUCCAAACAUGCUGCUUCCUUUAUGGAUCUUAAUAGAAAUGUAUUGUCCUUUUCAGAAAUGAGGAAAAUGAAUAAGAAUAUUAUUGAUAAAAGUUUCAAAGCAGAGACUCAAAAGAGGAAUUGAACCUCAAACAAAGUUGCCGUGCAGCACUUAGGAUAAAACCACAAAAUCAUACAUCUAGCUGGAACUACUAUCUUAAUGUAUAUCUGUAGAAAAUUUACAUCACAGAGGAAGGGAACUUUCACAUAUACAAAUGAAGUUUUGGCUGUAUUUAAAAAUGAAAAAUGCAGAAUAUAAAUGUAAAACCAAUGAAAUACAUAAAUACAUGGAGUGCCCCCACUGGCACCAGUG